rnacentral:lncRNA from 1 species
UAUCCUCGAUGCCAUAGAAGGCUGUCCCUAUGUCCUCAAUGCCAUAGAAGGCUGUUCCCUAUGUCCUCAAUGCCAUAGAAGGCUGUUCCCUAUGUCCUCAAUGCCAUAGAAGGAUGUUCCUACGUCCUCGAUGCCAUAGAAGGCUGUUCCCUAUGUCCUUGCAUUGCCAUAGAAGGCUGUUCCCUACGUCCUCGAUGCCAUAGAAGGCUGUUCCCUAUGUCCUCGCAUUGCCAUAGAAGGCUGUUCCCUAUGUCCUCGAUGCCAUAGAAGGCUGUUCCCUAUGUCCUCAAUGCCAUAGAAGGCUGUUCCCUAUGUCCUCGAUGCCAUAGAAGUCUGUUCCCUAUGUCCUCGAUGCCAUAGAAGGCUGUUCCCUAUGUCCUCGCAUUGCCAUAGAAGGCUGUUCCCUAUGUCCUCAUUACCAUAGAAGGCUGUUCCCUAUGUCCUCGAUGCCAUAGAAGGC